AUUGAACAUUGGCGGUAGGCUUAACACAUGCAAGUCGAGCGAGGCGUAAUAGUCGAGCGGCGAACGGGUGCGUAAUACAUGGGAAUCUACCUCGAAGUGGGGGAUAACGUUCAGAAAUGGACGCUAAUACCGCAUAAUCCAUAUUGGGAAAGCGUUGCAGCGCUUUGAGAUGAGCCCAUGGCUGAUUAGCUAGUUGGUGAGGUAAUGGCUCACCAAGGCGACGAUCAGUAGCUGGUCUGAGAGGAUGACCAGCCACACUGGAACUGAGACACGGUCCGGACUCCUACGGGAGGCAGCAGUGGGGAAUCUUGCGCAAUGGGGGCAACCCUGACGCAGCCAUACCGCGUGAGUGAUGAAGGUCUUCGGAUUGUAAAGCUCUUUCGGCGGGGACGACGAUGACGGUACCCGCAAAAGAAGUCACGGCUAACUUCGUGCCAGCCGCCGCGGUAA
rnacentral:rRNA from 1 species